rnacentral:lncRNA from 1 species
UUUUUUUUUCCGGUAGACGCGGAUAUUUCUACACACUUUUUCUUUUCUUUUUGUUGCACUUGCCCUUUUUCAAAAACAAAUCUAAGGAUCACCACCCCAAACUUAUCUUUUUGCACGAAUUUUACACUACAACAGUCAUGCCGAGCGAAGGUAGGAAGUGUUUGGAUUAUGGUUAACAUGACGGUUUACACAAACAAGGGGGUACAGACUCAACGGGGUUAACAACGGAUAAAUACAACAUUAUGGAUGGCUAGAAAGGCUAAAAGGGUGAAAACAAACAAUGUGCCUCAAUGUGCGUCUUUGUAUUGUGCUGUAUCAGUAGAACUUACGCAAAAUUAGAGAGAUAAAGUCAUACCUGAAUGCGCUCUUUUGUGUUUGAUUAUGUUGAAAUCUCACCAUGUUGGAUAAGCUUGCAGGCUCCAAACCACUCUUUAUGACAAACAACUUCUUUUUCAGCUUGGGUUUACCUUCCCCUCUUUCGGUCUAAAUUUACCAAGUUACGUCCAACAUUUUCUUUCUCAACUGUAUCAACUUCCAAGUUGCCUCGGGAGCAAAUCCGGGGUUGCAUCUUUCCCUCACUGGUCAUUAGUCCAUCAUUUAUCUAGUAGAAUCCACUUUUAUCUGUAACUUAAGGAAAUAAAACAGACACACAAAGACAAAACAAAGUAACAAAGCAAACAAACACAACUAAAAAUAAAAUACAAAACAAGAAAACCCCCCCACACUUGAACCAAACAUUGUCCGCAAUGUUUAUUGUCAAGAUAAGAGGGGUAUUCACAAUGUUUACUGAGGAGGUGGGGG